UACGGGGGAGCAAGCGUUGUUCGGAUUUACUGGGCGUAAAGGGCGCGUAGGCGGCCACCGCAAGUCAAUUGUGAAAUCUCCGGGCUUAACUCGGAAAGGUCAACUGAUACUGCGGGGCUAGAGUGCGGAAGGGGCAACUGGAAUUCUCGGUGUAGCGGUGAAAUGCGUAGAUAUCGAGAGGAACACCUGCGGCGAAGGCGGGUUGCUGGGCCGACACUGACGCUGAUGCGCGAAAGCCAGGGAGCGAACGGGAUUAGAGUACC
rnacentral:rRNA from 1 species